GCAGACACAUUCCAGCCAAUCAGCAGCAGACCCUCCCUCCCACACCCUCCCAACUUCUGGACAGCAUCCAUUUUACAUUCAUUGUGAAGCUGCAUUCUUAGUGAGCUGUCCAGGAGGUGGGAGGGUCUGGGAGGGAGGGUCUGCUGCUGAUUGGCUGGAAUGUGUCUG